AUUGAACGCUGGCGGCAUGCCUUACACAUGCAAGUCGAACGGUAACAGGCCGCAAGGUGCUGACGAGUGGCGAACGGGUGAGUAAUGCAUCGGAACGUGCCCAGUUGUGGGGGAUAACUGCUCGAAAGAGCAGCUAAUACCGCAUACGACCUGAGGGUGAAAGCGGGGGAUCGCAAGACCUCGCGCAAUUGGAGCGGCCGAUGUCAGAUUAGGUAGUUGGUGGGGUAAAGGCCUACCAAGCCGACGAUCUGUAGUUGGUCUGGGAGGACGACCAGCCACACUGGGACUGAGACACGGCCCAGACUACUACGGGAGGCAGCAGUGGGGAAUUUUGGACAAUGGGCGCAAGCCUGAUCCAGCAAUGGCGCGUGCAGGAAGAAGGCCUUCGGGUUGUAAACUGCUUUUGUCAGGGAAGAAAUCCUCUGGGUUAAUACCCCGGGGGGAUGACGGUACCUGAAGAAUAAGCACCGGCUAACUACGUGCCAGCCGCCGCCGUAACAC
rnacentral:rRNA from 1 species